AUAGGAAUUGAGUUUUCAAAUACAUAUUUGCGUAAUUUACGCAGAUACGCAGGUUGUCUGUACCUCUGAAUUACAAUAUGUUGCCAUUUUUCAUUCUGGUUUCUUUUCCAUGUGUAUAUGUCUUAACCGUACGUGCUCUGGAACCUUCCUGUAGGAUAUUAAGCUGAAGAAUUUCGGUAUUUGAGCAGAGAUGUUUGGAUAAUGAUACAUUGGAUUAGAGAAUGAAAGUACGUUUGUUUCAAAAUCCAACGUCAUAAGGCUCCUGAGGAGUUGGACUCUGGGAAGACUGGAGGCCCACGUCGUGUCUUUGUUUCCAAGAGUCUCUCUCGCCCUUGUUAACUUCACAUAUGGACGGUGUGACAAGGGAAGGAGGGUGCGGACAAUAGCCCCCGCAGUCCCUCCAAGAUCUCGAGAGAAAAAUGGGGAAGGUCAAACUAAUCAUCGUACCAAACAGAGACAUUCCACUGAACGAGACGGACCAGUAAACGUCAACAUGCCCAGAAAUCGUACCCCAAGCGCCAUCAAGCCCAGAAAUCGAACUCCAAGCGCCAUAAAACCCAGAAAGUGUACAUCAAGCGCCAACAAACCCACAACACGAACUUGAAACACAGGUAAAUCGAUGGACUAUGGCGGGCACUCCCACAGUUCAGUUCCAGACAAUAGGUAAUCCAAAUCUGAAGAAAUAUACACUAUCAUUACCUACACGGACCAUAUGACUAAGUUAUCUAUGAAGGUCGGUUACAAAGGUAUCACAAAACCAGUGAACACGGGUCUUAUGGUCGUUUGUGCUUACAUGCAUGACUUAACAAUUGGAGACAUCUGACAACACAGUACUCCAAGAUGAUAAUAUUUUCAAUAGACAGCUUAAGAACAUCUGAGUAUAGAACGGAAAAAACAGCACCUUAAUGCUCAUAUAUCGAAUAUGUACUUAAAACGUCAUUUCAUUAGCAUAUGUAUGAAUAUUUUGUAAAACCUACAGCAUUAUUUAUCUUCGUGUUCAUAGCUGAAAGUGAAAACGACAGUGUGGGAUCUGUUCAAGUUGCUGCUCAUCUUGACCACCUAUUGUCGACACCGGAAAGCUUACUCGACCUAGAAGGAGAGAGGCAGAUAACAGUUUCACGUUCCGAUGUGGUCGAGCCGAUAUUGCAGCAUUACAAAGACGAUCCCUCCAUUCUACAAUCACGACUCCAUGUUUCUUUCGCUGGAGAAUCGGGGGAUGAUUUUGGAGGGUUGAGCUAAGAUAUCUUCACAGCAUUUUGGACGGGAGUAUUUGAACCAUACUUCAGAUGAGAGCGAUCUAAGGUGCCAAGCCUACCCUUCCACAGAGUUAGGCAGGAGUUGUGGAAGUAUGAAUCAAUCGGUGGCAAUGACAAGUUGUCUGCCAUCUAUGAUCACGGGAACCUCUAUCACUGGAAUUGUCUCUGCAUCCGAUGUGGGCAAACAAUGCCUUUUAGAAGACUUUUUUUCUUUCUUGUACCAUGGUAAAGCAACACCUGAUUCAAAAGAUGAUGGCGCUUUUCCAGAGACUUGACAAUAAGAGAUGGACUCGCUGAUCACUUUCCUCAGCAUCAAUGGCUUCUUGGGAAUGCCAAACUAUUGGGAAAUCUCAGAUCAAAUCGCAGAAAUUGACCAGAAAGUUGCUUGACAUCCCUCGUCCUCUUUACGAUGCCAUGAGACGUGGUAUUCCAAGUUCACGCGUGUUAUCAUUCUGGGUGCAGUUGACGAUUCACGAAGUUUCAGCUCUUAUCACCCCCCAGCGUCCUACUCCUAUAAUGUGGUAGAUUGUAUAUUGACGGAGGGGGAAUAUAUCAGACCUGAGGAGAAAGUCCUGUACUUCUUGAAACAGUUUGAGAGAGUACUAGAUCAGGAACACCUCAUGUCCUUUCUUCAGUUCGUUACAGGGUCAAUCCACGUGCCAGUUGGGGGAAAUGAGGUAUCAUCGUUGGGGGUUCGAGUUCAAGUUGAAUGAACUGUUAUACAUA
rnacentral:lncRNA from 1 species